UACGAAGGGGGCUAGCGUUGCUCGGAAUCACUGGGCGUAAAGCGCACGUAGGCGGAUUGUUAAGUCAGGGGUGAAAUCCUGGAGCUCAACUCCAGAACUGCCUUUGAUACUGGAGAGCUUGAGUCCGGAAGAGGUGAGUGGAACUCCGAGUGUAGAGGUGAAAUUCGUAGAUAUUCGGAAGAACACCAGUGGCGAAGGCGGCUCACUGGCCCGGACUGUGACGCUG
rnacentral:rRNA from 1 species